GUUUCUCAUCUAAAAGAUGCAAAUUGCCUCUAAUCAAAUGCUUUCAAUUUAGCAAUUAUUUUUCUGUUAUAAACAGUAUUGAUACUUCUGAAUUUUUUGUGACAGCUGAAUUGUACACUGGUGUUGGAGUAAGCAUCGGUACACUCAUAGUUAUUGUUGCCCUGGUAACUGUAUUAGUGUUUAAAUUCAGAAAACUGGAACUAAAAUUAGGAGAUGGAAGCGUCAAGGUUCAGAAGAAGGACUGUCAGACGGAGGCCUUUAACUUUGAUGAACAGGAAGAACAUGUUGUGGCUCUGUGUACAAUAAGGAAGCUGGACGAUAAUGGAGUUCCUAUUAACUGAAAUCUUGUUUUCAGAACAACAAAGAUAUAUUUAACUUUUGAUUUCUUUUUAUUGCAAAGCAAUACCUGUUUGAAAGAAAAAGAAAUAAUUUAAUAGUUCGAAAUCUCCUUUCAAGUUGACCUUUGUUGUACAUCCUUUAUAUAUGAUAAUCUACUAUAUAUUUUUCCUAAUGUGUAUUUAAUCAAUAUAUAUUUUUUAUAAUAAUAUUUUUCAACGUAGUGUAUAGAGGGUAAUCGAUAUCAAAAAUGCGCUUAUGUAAGUUGGAGAUGUUAAAAUAAUAUCAAUUCAAUGUCCACAUUAAAAAUAUUUUGAUUAACUAUGGUAAAAAAGUGUAUACAUAGUAAACUACAGUUAACUAAACUUAAUUAUAUAUUUCGUGGGGGUAUUUAAAAGAUCUGACUAAGUGCCAAGGUCUUGACCUUCAUUUUCCUAUUAACCAAUCAUACGACAUACUACUAGAGGAAUACUUGAUAGAAAUAAAAAUGGGAAGAUAAUCUUUAAAAAAAAAUUUAAAAAAUAAAUACAAGUCUGUAAACACGCCAUAUACACAGACCUCCAACAAUGCAAGAGGAACCUAGGAGGAGUAAGCUUCCCCUGUUGACCGGUUUACCCACCGUGAGAUUUAUGUAUUGAUCAGAAUGGGGUAUUUAGUAGUCGAGUUCCCCAUAAAAACAAAGGCAUUACAAUCGAAAUCAAUCAUGACAGCUAAAAUAUGACCCAAUUUUAGGGUAAACUUGUUUAGAAGAUCAAAAUAACGACAAUAGAAAACAAAAUAUUAAAAUAAAAAUAAUCUUGUCGUUACAUUAACAUUAAUUUUUUAUCCUAACUCUAUUUAUGUUCUUGCUUUUCCAACCUAAAUCGAACUUAUAAAUAACGGGUCUACAAGUCCUGCAGGACUCUUUAAGCCAUUAAUGUUUUAAUCACAUCUACAAAAAACGUAAAAUUUUACUUUAAUUUUUUAGGCCUUCCUCUGUCAUAGACUUACAAACCAUACAAUGUGCCGCUUUUGGCUCUGGUACUAAGAACUAAAUUUGAUUAAACUCAUGGCAGGCAUCACUAAUAAACGGCUUGUACACAGAGAAACCCAAUUCCCCAGUCUUACUAGAUUACAAGAAAACAUUUCACGUCUUUCUGUAGUUCUUUACAGAUAUCAUUAUACCCCCGCUUUAAAAGUGGGAGGUUAUAUAGUGAUUUGGAUGUCCGUUCGUCCGUUUGUACGUCCGUCCGUUACGCUUUGGGAUACCCAUCUCUUAUCCGCAAGUCCUGUUUUACCACUGAAUUAAAUUUAACAAGACUUUCACAGAGACUUUGUUUCAUAAUGCCAUUGUGCACCUUUGAUUUUACUUUUUGAACCAAAACAUCUUUUGUUUCCCAGAGCAAAACAUGGUCAGUGUCAUUCUUUCUAUAAAACUGAAGGAUACCCAUCUCUUAUCCACAACUCCUGAAUGAAGUUUAAUAAUACUUUCACAGAUUCUUUAUAACAACAUGUCAUUGUACAACACUCAUUGUUCACAGUACUUUUUGUUAACAUAAUAAGCUUUUGAUGAUGCUUUAAUUAUUCAGGUUUUAAUACUGGAACACAUGUUUAUAAACAACUCUCAAGAUAUAAAGAAAAACACAACAUAAAAUUAAGUAUUUCCUUAUUUAAAAUACGUAAUUGGAAAUGUUAUAGAUAGGUAAAAGUUCUUAUUAAAGUUCUUUAUAACAGAUAUAAACAAUUUACAUGCGUUUAAGCUUUUGGAGGAGUCACGGAAGGCGUUUGCGAAAUGAAGACCCCUCAAUGAUCAAUGGCUCUAAGUGCCGGGUAAAGGUCAGAAUAAAAGUGAUAGUGUUGAUAACUACUUUAUAAAGAAGGCAAGUUGACGAUGGAAAACUGAAGUUUGUCAUUUAAUUUAGUUGUUUAUUGAAAUCAAUAAAUAGUCAGUAAAAUAUAAAACAGCU